AUAUUCCGGUGAGGCUUUAGGAGCGACCCAGUUUUUCAGUGAGGCUUUAGGAGCGACCCGUCGUUACCCCUUUCGUAAACCCAACGUUGAAAUAUAAGAAAAAUGCUAGGAGCUCACGGCGGCGACGGCGAUGGAAACGAUCCGCACCGAUCGUGGUGGAAGAAAAUAACAGGCUGCAAAAACAGCGGGUCGAAGAAAACACCACCACCACCAAGAGGGGCA